rnacentral:rRNA from 1 species
AAUCUUCCGCAAUGGACGCAAGUCUGACGCAGCAACGCCGCGUGAGUGAAGAAGGUUUUCGGAUCGAAAAACUCUGUCAUGGGGGAAGAAUAAAUGACGGUACCCAAUGAGGAAGCCCCGGCUAACUACGUGCCAGCAGCCGCGGCAAUACGUAGGGGGCGAGCGUUGGUCGGAAUUACUGGGCGUAAAGGGGACGUAGGCGGCUAUAUAAAUCAGGUAUGAAAUACCAGUGCUUAACACUGGAAUUGCAUUUGGAACUGUGUAGCUUGAGUGCAGGAGAGGAAAGUGGGAUUCCUAGUGUAGCGGUGAAAGGCGUAGGGAUUAGGAGGAACACCAGUGGCGAGGGCGACUUUCUGGACUGUAACUGACGCUGAGGUACGAAAGCGUGGGUAGCGAACA